GAUGAGAUGGAGGAAACACAAGCAAAAUUGAGGCACGCCACCAGGAUCCACCCCAACAGUCCUGCCCUUGCAAUACGAAGCCACAACUACAAGGAUGCUUCGCCACUCUCCGGCCGGCCUCCACUAGACCACCCCUCCCCUCGCCGUCGCCGGAGGAGGCCGCCGGGCGAAGCCCCGCGGCGGACGGCGGCGGCGAGGUUGCGUGCAGCCUCCUCUCCAGCCUGCUGCGUUCUCUCCUUCUCCCUCAGAUCCAAAAUCCCCCCACGCCUCCUGCUUCCAUGCUUGCUUGGCUACGGCUGCCGGCCAUCUAAAUGCAUCGGCUGCCCCUGCUCUGGCCCCAUGGCUGCCGGAUGUGGCUGCUGGUCCUUGUGGACGGGGCGCUGACGGUAAAAUUUCGAGCUGACGGCUUGUGUGGACGACUGCUCGGCGCGGCGCUGUGGGGGCGCGGCUGGGUGGCCGGCGGUGGCCGUCGCGGUGGGCCUGCGGGUUCGAUGGCGGGGGGUUGCGGGCACGGGCGUGCUGGCGCGGGGCGUCCUCGUCCUGGGUGCGCGUGGCCCUGGGCGUGUGGCGCGGUCGUGGUGGCGCCUGGUGCUGGUGCGGGCGGCCACGGACGCGCGUCGAGUCAGGGGAGCUGCGGGCGAGGUGGAUCCAGAGCGGCCGGCGCGCCGGCUCCAGAUCUGGCAGUGGUCGGAGCUUGCCGAGAUCCCCGUCCCCGAUCUGGCGAUCUUCGAGGCGGUCGGUCAUGGGAUGGUGCUCGGCGGCUUGGUUGGCGCUGCCGGCAGUGUUGGUGAAUGCGUGGCUUGCUUCUGGCUCGGGGCAUGCCGGUCGUGAUGGCGGGUGGCCUGGCGAUGAUCUCGGGCUGGAUCUGAACUGCAGUGGUCGAAUCGGGUCCUAUACGGUGGUGCUCUGGGAGAAAUCCCUGCUCACCCAUUGUGUGAGCCGACCACUAUGGCGCCUCCCCGGCGUCGUAUACCUUCCUAGAGGCGUGGUCUUCGAGCUGUUCCGUGUGGAUCUGCUUCGGCGUCGUUCAGGCCGUCUUGCUGUAGGGAUAUGCUCAAACUCCGGGUGAGAACCUUUCAUCGACUAUGUCGAUGUCGGCGGCAGCGGCGUCUAUGGACGUCGUCUUCCUCGCAGGAGGUGCCGCUGUGGAGCUCCAGCACCUAUGGUAUUUUGAUUUGUGGUCUCCGGGUGAAAACCCAAGAUCGGGCUUGCCGGAUCGGAUGAUGGUGUUGUGUCUUCGACAGCACUACCUCCUUGGAGGCGUCAUCUUGGAGGCCCAAACCAUGGCCCCUGUUGCUGUUGUGUGGUUCAGGCUGGUGCGUUUGGUGGUGGUGAUGCGGCCAGCUUGGGGCCGACGGUGGUGUAUUUCUUUUUCAGGUGUUUCUCUUGGCUGUCCUUCGUGUGGUCUCCGUCUUGUUGCUGUGCAUGCUCAAGACCCUCCCAUGGUUGCCGUUGUGCUGCGGUGAGCUCUGGGCUCUUGGUGUUGUCUUGGUUCACCUUUGCUCAAUGACGACGCAAUGAUGCCUCCCCAACCUGCUAAUCGUUCUGACCGCCCGUGGCGGAUCUUCCAGUCAAGGUUCGUGUUAUGGUUUGGCACUCGUUGAUUGUGGUUGAUCCUCUGUUGUGCCGUGGGGCUCGGUACGCACGCCGGUGCGGUGCGUUAGGUUGUUUGCAGAGUCUUGGUAUUGUGAUCCCUCGACAGAACCCCACAUCUACUUGUGUCUCUCGUGGUGUUGGUCUUUCUGCCUGCUAGCUAGGUCAUGCCCUCUCCUGGGUGGCACUUUUUUCUCAUCUUCUGUAACCUUGUUACCUGUAUGGUUUUCGGCCCGGUUUUCCUCAUAAAUGGGGUCAACUUGUUUAGAUUUUUGAUCCGGUUUUCCUUAUAAACUGGAUCAGCCAAAGCUUAAGGGGUCACUCUUGGCUUUGGCAACUUUUUGAGCAAUAUAUUCAGGUGGGGAUCCUCUCCCCCCCGGUGACCGUUCAAAAAAAAACUACAAGGAUGCUUCUUGAGGCACAAGACCAAGAACAGAUGCUACCGAGCCAGACGAUGGUGGUGCGCGCAAGAUAACUCGUAUCACCAGAGAGGAGGGGGGCAGCGAGCAUUGCUUAAAUCAUGGUGUGCCACUAGGAGGCAUACCAAGCUCCUGGAAGACAAGGACGAUGGGUCUCCACCUCGACCUUCCAAUACCCCUUCCUUUACUUUGUGGAGGGUCCUCGUGGAGUGGUUGGCCUCAGGGAUAAUGCCGAGAACAUCUUAUUGGACGAGACAAAAGAUGUGUGCAGUGGGUAUGAGAGUGGAGAAGUUGUACCAGAGGGACCCGGCCAACAAUGAUCGUCUCAUAGUGGUGUAUCCAGUUAAGAUGCAUAAAAUUCAAGAAUGUGAGAAAAGAACAGAGCAAAUUUCUAAGCCCAAUAGAUUUUUGUGUAGAAAGAUGCUUUUGCAUCCACAUAUUAUUGCAACUCUUCGUUUCAGCCCGGGCAACGAUGAACUAGGUCGUAGUCGUGUAGCCCGGACACAAGCAAAGCAACAUCUGUUCAAGCUUAUCUUUUCAGAACCGCAAUAUAUUCUUCCAGACUUUCCUCCG
rnacentral:rRNA from 1 species